UAAGAACGUAGCAAAAUGCGAUAAGUAAUGUGAAUUGCAGAAUUCAGUGAAUCAUCGAAUCUUUGAACGCACAUUGCGCCCGCCAGUAUUCUGGCGGGCAUGCCUGUUCGAGCGUCAUUUCAACCCUCAAGCCCUCGGGUUUGGUGUUGGGGAUCGGCGAGCCUUUCUGGCAAGCCGGCCCCGAAAUCUAGUGGCGGUCUCGCUGCAGCCUCCAUUGCGUAGUAGUAAAACCCUCGCAACUGGAACGCGGCGCGGCCAAGCCGUUAAACCCCCAACUUCUGAAUGUUGACCUCGGAUCAGGUAGGAAUACCCGCUGAACUUAAGCAUAUCAAUAAGCGGAGGA
rnacentral:misc_RNA from 1 species